UACAGAGGGUGCAAGCGUUGUUCGGAAUUAUUGGGCGUAAAGCGCGUGUAGGCGGCUAAGUAAGUCGGGCGUGAAAUCCCACGGCUCAACCGUGGAAGUGCACUCGAAACUGCAUAGCUAGAGUCCUGGAGAGGAAGGUGGAAUGCUUGGUGUAGAGGUGAAAUUCGUAGAUAUCAAGCGGAACACCGGUGGCGAAGGCGGCCUUCUGGACAGUGACUGACGCUGAGACGCGAAAGCGUGGGGAGCAAACAGGG
rnacentral:rRNA from 1 species